rnacentral:tRNA from 1 species
UCUCUCGUAGCUUAGAGGUCAGAGCAUUGGUGCGUAAAGUCAAAGAUCCCGGGUUUUUUUCCCGGCAAGGGUG